AACUGCAGGAGGGCCUUCACAUUGAUUCAUGGCUGGCGUCAGGGUAGAGCUGCUGCUGGUCCUGACUGCGACUCUGCUGGUUUCAGUAGAGGGAUGGGCGCGGAUCAAGAAAAUUCAACGUCCCUCGCCAGAUGACCGCAGGGAGGACGACAGCGGUGAAGAUGCAGUCUUGAGGAUUCAUUGCUUCAAGUUGAAGGCGCCACCGCCAGUGGAAACUUCUACAAUUUGCUAACCAUGGAGACCAGAUUGACACAGUAGAUUCUAGUCCAAGAACAUGGCGCAGAGGUACUGAUAGUAGUUUCCAGAUGGAAUUUGACAAUAUCCCUUCAAGGAGCCAGACCAGCGGUACCAGUCGGCGUCGGACUGGGCUAGAUGUGGUUUGCAGUGACGCUGGCUUUCAAAUUACUGUGCUGAAAGGUUCAUUAAGUGAAGUUAAAGUUGUGGGCUCAAAGGACCUGCUGUCUGUUAUGGAUGCUCCAGAGUCUUGGGUAUGAAGUGAACCUUU